rnacentral:pre_miRNA from 1 species
CAUCAAAGUGGAGGCCCUCUCCGUGGCUUGGCGGGAAAGUGCAUCCAUUUUGUUAGU